rnacentral:lncRNA from 1 species
UUUUUUUUUUUUUUUGUCUUUCUUUUGCCUUUUCUGGGGCCACUCCCGUGGCAUAUGGAGGUUCCCAGGCUAGGGGUUUAAUCGGAGCUACAGCUGCUGGCCUACGCCAGAGCCACAGCAACACGGGAUCCGAGCCGUGUCUGCAACCUACACCACAGCUCAUGGCAACGCCGGAUCCUUAACCCACUGAGCAAGGGCAGGGAUUGAACCCGCAACCUCAUGGUUCCUAGUCGGAUUCGUUAACCACUGCGCCACGACGGGAACUCCUCGGGUUUCUUUCCAGUGGUAAAUACUACAGUCCUGCACAGUCUGAGGUUGACAGAAUCCACGCAUAUGGAGAACUAAUUAGAAGUUACAUGUGGAUUUUCAACGGCUCGGAGGGUUGGUGUCCCUUACCCCAACUCUAUAGCCCCCCACACUGAAAACAAGUGUUCAAAGUCAUGCUCAUACAUGAAUGGUCAUGGCAGCAUUAAUCACAACAGCCAAGACGCGGAGACAGCCCCGUGUCCACCAGCCGAAGAAUGAACACAUAGAAUGUGGCACAGCCACGCAGCGGAAUAUUAUUCAGUCAUGAACAGGACUGAAGUCCUGGCACAGCUGCGGCAUGGAUGGACCUUGAAAACAUGCUCGGUGAGAGAAGCCAGACACAGAAGGCCACACACUGUAUGGUUCCACAGGAAAUGUCCAGAACAGGCAAAUCCACAGAAGCAGAAAGCAGGUGAGUGGUUUCUAGGCGCUGGGGGAGAGGGAAAGAAAAUGACUAAUAGUUAUGGGGGUUCCUUUUGGGGUGACCAACUGGAAAGAGGUGACGGUCACACAACACUGUGACUGUACUAAAUGCCACUGAAUUAUUCACUUUAUUAUUAUUAUUAUUUUUGUCCUAGUCCGUGGCAUGCAGACGUCCCUGGGCCGGGGUCAAAUCUGAGCCACAGCAGUGACAAUGCUGGAUCCUUAACUGCUAGGCCAACAGACAACUCCUGAAUUAUUCACUUCAAAGCAGCUAGUUUUACAUUAUGUGAAUUUUGGCUCAAUACACAAAAAUUUAAAUUAACAUGCAUGGCCAAGACUGUACUAGACAAUCAGGGGGCUCCCACAGCCACCCAGAAACUCUCGGGUCCCCAAAUAAAAUGCUGAGACUGGAGAAAGGAGUCUCUCCCAGGUCCCCUGGCUGGGGGAGCCGUGCCGGGCUGGCCUGCGAGGCUGGGUGAUGGUGGAUCAGGGCCGAGGACGUAGACACCCCCCACCCCAGUGAGUGUUAACUGGACCCCGUCAGAUCUAGGGCCUCCCCAGAUGGAGCCGAUGUGUGAACCGUGUUGCUGUCAGGAUUUCAAACCACUAGCAUCCAACGCACAGCACAGAUCAAAGGUCCGAGAUUCAACCCUCAGCCUGACCACGGAGUGGGGCUGGGUGGUGGAGGCACCUGGGCAGCCGAGGGGGUGAUUCCUCAGCUGAACCAUGGGGCCGAUCCCGGGGUUCGGGGGGGAAGGCGGUGGGGGGGGGGCUUGGACACCCCCAGGAUUCAGAUGAGGCCUUGGAGCAUCUCCCUGUCCGCGGCAAUAGUCUCCUUCUGUCUCCGAGAAGACCUCACCCGCCCUCCUUUGCAUCUUAGAAUCCUUCAAGUCACAGCUCUGUCCCUCCUCCUCCAGGAAGCCCUCCGAGAAUCCUUCAGCCGUGUGCCCUCAACCCCUGGGGUGCCCCUGCUGGACUUUAAGGUGCCUGAGGAUAAAGUCGCUACCUCUAACCUCCUGCUGUCAUUCAGGGAGAUAGUGACCAUGUUCGAAUUUCCUGGCCACUCCUGUGACCCUUAUAAUCCACCGGAAUGUUCUGGAAAUGACGUUCUGACUUCCCAAGGCCAAGUACCUGAUGUCCUAUCUUUGUAUGUAGAAAAGAAGUCCCUUUGUCCCCAUGCCUGGCAGGGCUGGGACACCCAGCAGGUGUGCGCUAGGCAGGAAGGCCAGCAUUCGGGGACCCUCUCGAUGGUCACACCCUCGACCUGCAAAGGGUCUGAUCUCUAGGUGGCCAGAGCGGAAGAGUGACCUCAAUUCCUGCUUCCCUCCCCUCCUGGACCAUGGCCACAGGGCUUGGGCUGGGCUGGGGGUCCAGCAGCAGAGCGAACACACACCUGGGCAGCAGGACUCCGGGCCCCUCGUGGCCCUGCGGGUGCUCUGACAGCCCAUCAGGGAGCUGGGUCCAGGCCCAGCGGCCUGAGCUGGCACCUGCAGGAGGUGGGUGGAAGGAAAUGCCCCCUGCUCCCAGGCAUGAGGCUGCUGGUUCUGUUUUGGUGAAACUGUGACGGAUCCAUGAGAAUCAGAGGCCUGGAGGCCUGAGUGGCAACUCAGCAUGGGGACAGGAAGGACGCCAAUAGCAGAAGCAACUGCCAGAAGCCGCCAUCGAGUCUCUUCAGGAACAGGGUUGGGGUAACAAUCAGGCAAUAAGAGGAAAAGUGUGAAGCAGCCCUGAGUUGUCUUUGUCAGGCCACACCUGGAGCAUGUGGAAGUUCCCAGGCCAGGGAUCAAACCCGCGUCACAGCGCCGACCCGAGCUGCUGCAAUGACAAAACGCCGGAUCCUUAACCCACUGCACCACAACGGAAUUCUGCCUUUAGUUCUCUUUUUUUCUUUUUCUUUCUUUUUUUUUUUUUUGUCUUUUUGCCUUUUCUAGGGCCACUCCCUCGGCAUAUGGAGGUUCCCAGGCUAGGGGUCCAAUUGGAGGUGUAGCCACCAGCCUACACCACAGCCACAGCCACAGCAACGCAGGAUCUGAGCUGCAUCUGCGACCUACACCACAGCUCACGGCAACGCCGGAUCCUUGACCCCUGAGCAAGGCCAGGGAUCGAACCCGCAACCCCAUGGUUCCUAGUCGGAUUUGUUAACCACUGCGUCAUGACGGGAACUCUCUGGUUUUCUCACUUUGCUGAUCUGUCCAUUCAUUCAUUUGACAAGUAUUUAUCGAGGGCCUACUGUGGGCCGGGCACUGACCUAGGGGCUGGGCAGACGGAGUUGGAAAUUCUUGUCCUCUGGGAGCUGCUCAGACACUGGGCACGGCAGACGAUAAGAAAAAUCAGCGAAAUACACUGCUAGACAGCGCUGUGAGCCUGUGACAGCCUAAGGACGAGGAUGGGACACAGCAGGAGGUGGCCCUUUUAGCAGAGAAGGACAGGAUGCCAGUGAAGAGGGUGA